GGAAAGGCGCGCGAUACAGGGUGACAGCCCCGUACACAAAAAUGCACAUGCUGUGAGCUCGAUGAGUAGGGCGGGACACGUGGUAUCCUGUCUGAAUAUGGGGGGACCAUCCUCCAAGGCUAAAUACUCCUGACUGACCGAUAGUGAACCAGUACCGUGAGGGAAAGGCGAAAAGAACCCCGGCGAGGGGAGUGAAAAAGAACCUGAAACCGUGUACGUACAAGCAGUGGGAGCACGCUUAGGCGUGUGACUGCGUACCUUUUGUAUAAUGGGUCAGCGACUUAUAUUCUGUAGCAAGGUUAACCGAAUAGGGGAGCCGAAGGGAAACCGAGUCUUAACUGGGCGUUAAGUUGCAGGGUAUAGACCCGAAACCCGGUGAUCUAGCCAUGGGCAGGUUGAAGGUUGGGUAACACUAACUGGAGGACCGAACCGACUAAUGUUGAAAAAUUAGCGGAUGACUUGUGGCUGGGGGUGAAAGGCCAAUCAAACCGGGAGAUAGCUGGUUCUCCCCGAAAGCUAUUUAGGUAGCGCCUCGUGAAUUCAUCUCCGGGGGUAGAGCACUGUUUCGGCAAGGGGGUCAUCCCGACUUACCAACCCGAUGCAAACUGCGAAUACCGGAGAAUGUUAUCACGGGAGACACACGGCGGGUGCUAACGUCCGUCGUGAAGAGGGAAACAACCCAGACCGCCAGCUAAGGUCCCAAAGUCAUGGUUAAGUGGGAAACGAUGUGGGAAGGCCCAGACAGCCAGGAUGUUGGCUUAGAAGCAGCCAUCAUUUAAAGAAAGCGUAAUAGCUCACUGGUCGAGUCGGCCUGCGCGGAAGAUGUAACGGGGCUAAACCAUGCACCGAAGCUGCGGCAGCGACGCUGAUGCGUUGUUGGGUAGGGGAGCGUUCUGUAAGCCUGCGAAGGUGUGCUGUGAGGCAUGCUGGAGGUAUCAGAAGUGCGAAUGCUGACAUAAGUAACGAUAAAGCGGGUGAAAAGCCCGCUCGCCGGAAGACCAAGGGUUCCUGUCCAACGUUAAUCGGGGCAGGGUGAGUCGACCCCUAAGGCGAGGCCGAAAGGCGUAGUCGAUGGGAAACAGGUUAAUAUUCCUGUACUUGGUGUUACUGCGAAGGGGGGACGGAGAAGGCUAUGUUGGCCGGGCGACGGUUGUCCCGGUUUAAGCGUG
rnacentral:rRNA from 1 species